rnacentral:rRNA from 1 species
GACGAACGCUGGCGGCGUGCUUAACACAUGCAAGUCGAACGGAAAGGCCCUGCUUUUGUGGUGUGCUCGAGUGGCGAACGGGUGAGUAACACGUGAGUAACCUGCCCUUGACUUUGGUAUAACUUCAGGACACUGGGUCUUAUACCGGAUAGGAGCUCCUGCUGCAUGGUGGGGGUUGGAAUGUUUCGGCGGUUGGGGAUGGACUCGCGGCGUAUCAGCUUGUUGGUGGGGUAGUGGCUUACCAAGGCGUUGACGGGUAGCCGGCCUGAGAGGGUGACCGGCCACAUUGGGACUGAGAUACGGCCCAGACUCCUACGGGAGGCAGCAGUGGGGAAUAUUGCACAAUGGGCGGAAGCCUGAUGCAGCAACGCCGCGUGCGGGAUGACGGCCUUCGGGUUGUAAACCGCUUUCGCCUGGGACGAAGCGUGAGUGACGGUAAUGGGUAAAGAAGCACCGGCUAACUACGUG